GAGCGGUAUUGUUUCUUCGGAAACGAGAGAGCGGCGCACGGGUGCGGAACACGUGUGCAACCUGCCUUUAUCUGGGGGAUAGCCUUUCGAAAGGAAGAUUAAUACCCCAUAAUAUUUUGAAUGGCAUCAUUUAAAAUUGAAAACUCCGGUGGAUAGAGAUGGGCACGCGCAAGAUUAGAUAGUUGGUAGGGUAACGGCCUACCAAGUCAGUGAUCUUUAGGGGGCCUGAGAGGGUGAUCCCCCACACUGGUACUGAGACACGGACCAGACUCCUACGGGAGGCAGCAGUGAGGAAUAUUGGACAAUGGGCGAGAGCCUGAUCCAGCCAUCCCGCGUGAAGGACGACGGCCCUAUGGGUUGUAAACUUCUUUUGUACAGGGAUAAACCUUUCCACGUGUGGAAAGCUGAAGGUACUGUACGAAUAAGCACCGGCUAACUCCGUG
rnacentral:rRNA from 1 species